UCUCUUCAGAUCGUAUAAAUCUU
rnacentral:piRNA from 1 species